rnacentral:lncRNA from 1 species
CAGUAAUUUGUUCCCCAAGUUGAAUUUCAGGUUCUCCUGGAGUUUCUUCCCCGGGAGUGACCUCUGCAGGCUCAGUAGGAUGUUUUUGUUGUGGUGCAUCAUCAUUCGAUGAGGGUGGAGCAUUUUCUUGGGGUGUAGCUGGCUCCCAAGCAUUAGAGCCAUCCGCAAAACGAGUAGGUCUCCGAUUUCGCCCACGCUCAGUCCCUCUUGCCAUGUCAACCUACA